rnacentral:misc_RNA from 1 species
GUUUGUUGAGAGGAACAGCAUAGGGAAAAACAAGUUCAUCUUGUCAAUUAGCAACAGCUUACUCUUCCUUUGGAUAUAAGAGGGCAGUUGCUGGGGAAAGAUUCUAGCUUGUGGGAGAAGUUAGUGAGGGGAAAGUAUUUUGGUAAUGUCUCAAGUCUUGAUGCUUUCAUGUCUAAGCCGGAUUCUUCGAUAGUUUGGCGAGAUAAUACCAGUGGUGAUUCUAUUCUUUUUCAAGGGCAUGGUGUGUCAGUUUGCAAUGGCAUGUUUACAAGGUUUUAGGAGGGUGUUUGGUUGGUGAUGACCCUUUAGAGAAACUAGUUGUUCAAACUAUUCCAUCUUAGUUGUAAGACUAUACAGUUAUGCAGAUGUGGGCAAGUGAUACUUGGAAUUAGCAUGCUAUCAGGCCUUAUUUGUGGGUUGAGGAUGUUAUGCUUUUGGAGGUUGCAGUGGUUUCUAAUAAUGUUUUUAUUAAGGAUCGUUCUAUGUGUAUAUAGGCACCUCUUUGGGUGAAUUCUUUGUGAAAUUUGCUUAUGCUAUGUCUACUAUGGUUGAUAGAAUUCCAAAGAAUGGAAUCUGGAAAGUGGAUUACGGUUUGCAAGUCUCCUAACAGGUGUGUAUGUUCAUUUGGCUCCUUCUUGAUAAAUUGAUGACUAAUAAAAAAUGAACAAUAUUGUAAGAGGGGUUUUGCGUAGGACAAUGGGUUUUCUUAUGCUUAUUAUGUUGAGAUGGCUACCCAUCUCUUUCGAGAUUGCCCUGAGGCUACGAUGGUUUGGGAGUGUGGGACGGUGCCUCAUGGUCAUCCUUUAGAAGUUAAAAUUUUGAUGGUUGGUUUCUAUAAGAAAAUGAAUGGGUCAGUGUUUUGAGUGUUGAUGCGCCUCCAAUAUAGAUUUUAUGUGUAGUUCUUUGGUGGAUUAGGAGGUAGAGAAAUGAAAGAAUGUUUCAGAAUUCUUGUAUUUCUUUUGUAUCAAAGUUGGUCCGUUUGGUUAGUCAAUUGAAGGUUAACUCUACAGCUUGGUUGAGGUUGGUGUAAGUUCUCCUUCCUCUCAUUUUGUUUCUAUGAUUUGUUGGGCCCCCCCUCAUGAAGGUUGGUUUAAAUUGAACACCAAUGGUGCCAGAGAGGUAACCUUUGGCGUAGUAGAUGUGGUGGGGUCUUGAGAGAUCAUUCGAGUUGAUGGAUUUCUAGUUUCGUUAUCAGGUUCGGAAUUUGUUCUUCCAUGGUUACUGAGCUUCAUGCUUUGGUUCAUGGUCUUCGGUUUCCUUGGAAUAUGGGUUUUAGGAAAGUUGAAGUUAAUUUGGAUUUUUUUGUGGUUACCAACAUGGCUCUUAACAAAUCUCCUGUGGGGUUAAGAAUGCUUGGUUUGUUUAAUCAAUGUAAGAAGCUGCUGCUUCAACCUUGAGAGAUUGUCAUCUCGCAUAGUUACAACAAAAUCUAAUUUUGUUGUUGAUAAGUUAGCAGGUCUUACUGUUAUUAGGGAUGAGGGCCUGCGUGUGUUUGAUGUUUUACCAAAUGAGGUUGUGUCUUUGCUAGUGCAAAAUUCUGUUGGGAUUAGUUGGCCUAAUGCUUUUUUGGGAUUAUUUCCUACCAUUGUAUUUAAAAUAAUACAUGGUGAAAAAUGAAGUGUGAAA